rnacentral:rRNA from 1 species
GGYUGGCCGUGAGGCCGUCUGGAGCCGCCGUCGGUGCAGAUCUUGGUGGUAGUAGCAAAUACUCCAGCGAGGCCCUGGAGGACUGACGUGGAGAAGGGUUUCGUGUGAACAGCCGUUGCACACGAGUCAGUCGAUCCUAAGCCCUAGGCGAAAGCCGAUGUCGAUGCGGUGUAGAAUUUAUUUAUUGUGUUGUGUUUAUUUAUUAUAAUAAUAAUAAUAA